UUAGCGGAUGACUUGUGGCUGGGGGUGAAAGGCCAAUCAAACCGGGAGAUAGCUGGUUCUCCCCGAAAGCUAUUUAGGUAGCGCCUCGUGAAUUCAUCUCCGGGGGUAGAGCACUGUUUCGGCAAGGGGGUCAUCCCGACUUACCAACCCGAUGCAAACUGCGAAUACCGGAGAAUGUUAUCACGGGAGACACACGGCGGGUGCUAACGUCCGUCGUGAAGAGGGAAACAACCCAGACCGCCAGCUAAGGUCCCAAAGUCAUGGUUAAGUGGGAAACGAUGUGGGAAGGCCCAGACAGCCAGGAUGUUGGCUUAGAAGCAGCCAUCAUUUAAAGAAAGCGUAAUAGCUCACUGGUCGAGUCGGCCUGCGCGGAAGAUGUAACGGGGCUAAACCAUGCACCGAAGCUGCGGCAGCGACACUAUGUGUUGUUGGGUAGGGGAGCGUUCUGUAAGCCUGUGAAGGUGUACUGUGAGGUAUGCUGGAGGUAUCAGAAGUGCGAAUGCUGACAUAAGUAACGAUAAAGCGGGUGAAAAGCCCGCUCGCCGGAAGACCAAGGGUUCCUGUCCAACGUUAAUCGGGGCAGGGUGAGUCGACCCCUAAGGCGAGGCCGAAAGGCGUAGUCGAUGGGAAACAGGUUAAUAUUCCUGUACUUGGUGUUACUGCGAAGGGGGGACGGAGAAGGCUAUGUUGGCCGGGCGACGGUUGUCCCGGUUUAAGCGUGUAGGCUGGUUUUCCAGGCAAAUCCGGAAAAUCAAGGCUGAGGCGUGAUGACGAGGCACUACGGUGCUGAAGCGACAAAUGCCCUGCUUCCAGGAAAAGCCUCUAAGCAUCAGGUAACAUCAAAUCGUACCCCAAACCGACACAGGUGGUCAGGUAGAGAAUACCAAGGCGCUUGAGAGAACUCGGGUGAAGGAACUAGGCAAAAUGGUGCCGUAACUUCGGGAGAAGGCACGCUGAUAUGUAGGUGAAGCGACUUGCUCGUGGAGCUGAAAUCAGUCGAAGAUACCAGCUGGCUGCAACUGUUUAUUAAAAACACAGCACUGUGCAAACACGAAAGUGGACGUAUACGGUGUGACGCCUGCCCGGUGCCGGAAGGUUAAUUGAUGGGGUUAGCGGUAACGCGAAGCUCUUGAUCGAAGCCCCGGUAAACGGCGGCCGUAACUAUAACGGUCCUAAGGUAGCGAAAUUCCUUGUCGGGUAAGUUCCGACCUGCACGAAUGGCGUAAUGAUGGCCAGGCUGUCUCCACCCGAGACUCAGUGAAAUUGAACUCGCUGUGAAGAUGCAGUGUACCCGCGGCAAGACGGAAAGACCCCGUGAACCUUUACUAUAGCUUGACACUGAACAUUGAGCCUUGAUGUGUAGGAUAGGUGGGAGGCUUUGAAGUGUGGACGCCAGUCUGCAUGGAGCCGACCUUGAAAUACCACCCUUUAAUGUUUGAUGUUCUAACGUGGGCCCCUUACCGGGGUUGCGGACAGUGUCUGGUGGGUAGUUUGACUGGGGCGGUCUCCUCCUAAAGAGUAACGGAGGAGCACGAAGGUUGGCUAAUCCUGGUCGGACAUCAGGAGGUUAGUGCAAUGGCAUAAGCCAGCUUGACUGCGAGCGUGACGGCGCGAGCAGGUGCGAAAGCAGGUCAUAGUGAUCCGGUGGUUCUGAAUGGAAGGGCCAUCGCUCAACGGAUAAAAGGUACUCCGGGGAUAACAGGCUGAUACCGCCCAAGAGUUCAUAUCGACGGCGGUGUUUGGCACCUCGAUGUCGGCUCAUCACAUCCUGGGGCUGAAGUAGGUCCCAAGGGUAUGGCUGUUCGCCAUUUAAAGUGGUACGCGAGCUGGGUUUAGAACGUCGUGAGACAGUUCGGUCCCUAUCUGCCGUGGGCGCUGGAGAACUGAGGGGGGCUGCUCCUAGUACGAGAGGACCGGAGUGGACGCAUCACUGGUGUUCGGGUUGUCAUGCCAAUGGCACUGCCCGGUAGCUAAAUGCGGAAGAGAUAAGUGCUGAAAGC
rnacentral:rRNA from 1 species